rnacentral:sRNA from 1 species
GCUGGGUGCAGUGGUGCAUGCCUGUAAUCCUGGUGGCUUGGGAGGCUGAGGCAGGAGGAUCACAAAUUCAAAGCCAGCUUCAGCAACGAAUGGCGAGGCACUAAGCAACUCAGUGAGACUCUGUCUCUA